ensembl:lncRNA
AGAAAAUGACAUUGAUUUUAAUUGCAUGUUUUUAAAUCAGCUCAAUGUGAAAAGUCCAAAGGUGGUGAUUAUCUUUGCAAUCACAACACAUAAAUGUAUAAAGGAGUUAUUCCUAAAUUUGGUUGUUCUAGAAUGUUCAUGCUCAAACUGAAACCCUCCUAUCGCUCCUUCCUCUCCCUCUCCCUCUCCUCCUUUUUCUCCCUCUUCAAGUCAAAUCCUUCCUUCCCCUCUUCCAUUUUCAUCUCUCUAUCCUCACUGUUCCAUUCCGUUCGCUCCUCUCCUCUGCCCCUGUCUUCCCUUCCUCUCUGGCCCUCUGUCAUCCCUUCCUCUCUGGCCCUCUGUCAUCCCUUCCUCUCUGGGCCUCUGUCUUCCCUUCCUCUCUGGCCCUCUGUCAUCCCUUCUUCUCUGGCCCUCUGUCUUCCCUUCUCCUCUCUGGGCCUCUGUCAUCCCUUCAUCUCUGGGCCUCUGUCAUCCCUUCCUCUCUGGGCCUCUGUAUCCCUUCCUCUCUGGGCCUCUGUCAUCCCUUCCUCUCUGGGCCUCUGUCAUCCCUUCCUCUCUGGGCCUCUGUCAUCCCUUCCUCUCUGGGCCUCUGUCAUCCCUUCCUCUCUGGGCCUCUGUCAUCCCUCCUCUCCAGGCCUCUGUCAUCCCUUCCUCUCUGGGCCUCUGUCAUCCCUUCCUCUCUGGGCCUCUGUCUUCCCUUCCUCUCUGGGCCUCUGUCUUCCCUUCCUCUCCGGGCCUCUGUCAUCCCUUCCUCUCUGGGCCUCUGUCAUCCCUUCCUCUCCGGGCCUCUGUCAUCCCUUCCUCUCUGGGCCUCUGUCAUCCCUUCCUCUCUGGGCCUCUGUCAUCCCUUCCUCUCCGGGCCUCUGUCAUCCCUUCCUCUCUGGGCCUCUGUCAUCCCUUCUCCUCCGGGCCUCCGCACAUUCCCUGUAAUAAUAGGAAACCGGAUGAUGAGAGAGGAAGAGACAGAAAUCCUCUAAUAAUAAUCACUGUCUGUUUUGUCAUUUAUUUCUCCUUUCUUAGAAAGAGAUGGGAAGGGGAGAAUGAGAAUGAGAGGAAAAGAGGAAAAAUCUGAAAGGAAGAGAGGGAGGGAGAAGGAGACAAAAAGAGGGAGAGAUUGUCAUGGAGAGAGAGCUGCGUGCCCUGGAGCAGGUCUCUCCCUACAGUGAUACUGUAGUGAUCCAACAUCAUCCAAAUUGUUGGUAGCUGAAAGGCAGGAGAUAAUUACACUGUAACUCACAACCAGCUGUUACUGGCUCUGUGUGUAUGUGUUUUACAGGCUCAACAUAGAUGUUUCUCUUGCUGGAGGAAAUGGUUGCUGCAAGGCUUUGAGUCAAGUUUCCUAGCACUGUGUGUGUGUCUCUGUGUGUGUGUGUGUGUGUGUGUCUGUGUGUGUGUGUGUGUGUGUGUCUCUAUGUGUGUGUGUUUGUGAGAGAGGGAGCGAGUGAGAAGGAGAAUGUGUGCAUGUGCGUUUGAGAGAGGGGGAGUUAAAGCUGAAACCAGGUGAGUGAAGCUGAGACCAGGUGAGUGAAGCUGAGACCAGGUGAGUGAAGCUGAGACCAGGUGAGUGAAGCUGAGACCAGAUGAGUGAAGCUGAGACCAGGUGAGUGAAGCUGAGACCAGGUGAGUGAAGCUGAGACCAGGUGAGUGAAGCUGAUGUCACAUUGGCCCCCCUGGGACUGACUGUCACAACACUAGAAUGACCAGGUCCACAACAUCAGGUAACAGACCUAGAAGGAUACUACACAAGUGUACCAAUGAGACCCCUUUACUUAUUAUCCUAGAGCCAGAUAACCAUGUGGAAAUUAACAAAGUGACAUGUGUUUUAGUGUAACAUGAUGUUUGUUAAUAUAUUGAGAUGUGUGUUGAUGUAAUGACAUUAGUUAAUUUAAUAAGACAUCUGUUAAGAUAAUAUGUGG